AAGUCGUAACAAGGUUUCCGUAGGUGAACCUGCGGAAGGAUCAUUAACACGUAUCCAACGUUAAACCCCCCUGUGAACAUUGAGCUUGCUCUUGUAGCUCGGUAAAUCAUUGUUGAACAGAUUUUGAUUCAGGGACCUCAGUUCUGGUGAGUUACAAUUGAGCGAUUGAUCAAGUGGCCUGGUUUCCCCAAACAGUCAGUGUCUGAAAGUGUCAUUGAUUGCGUAAGGAUAACGCUUUACGAUCACUAGAGGCCGACACCGGCCGGUGAACAGGCUGCCGUGGCUUCGGCCCCCCAUAUUCACCCCACUACCUUGCAAUCGCCUCGUAGGAAACUGCUGGGCAUCAAACGAACAACUGUUAACAAUGGAUAUCUUGGUUCUC
rnacentral:misc_RNA from 1 species